rnacentral:rRNA from 1 species
CCCCUAGAUGUUCUGGGCCGCACACGCGCUACACUGAACAGUUCAACAAGUCUUAACCUUGGCCGAUAGGUCUGGGUAAUCUUUGAACGCUGUUCGUGAUUGGGAUAGACCUUUGCAAUUAUGGGUCUUCAACGAGGAAUUCCUAGUAAACGCAAGUCAUCAGCUUGCAUUGAUUACGUCCCUGCCCUUUGUACACACCGCCCGUCGCACCUACCGAUUGAAUGGUCCGGUGAAAUCUCGGGACGGCGGCUUGGUCGCUUGCGUCCGACUGCUGAAACUUGAUUAAACCAUAUCAUUUAGAGGAAGGUGAANUCGUANCA